UUACGGCCAUGUCAUGUUGAAAAACCUGUUCCCAUAUGAUUACUGAAGUUAAGCAACAUUGAGUCUGGUUAGUACCUAGAUGAGUUACUGCUUGGGAAUACCAGGUGCUGUAAG